UCUGAAUAUCGUCCAUUCCAGAAGUCAUGAGCAGCAGAAAAAUGAAAAAAAUAGCUCACAAUAUGACUAAGUCUAGAGUCUCAAUCUAAAAUGUAUGCUCAGUACUAAUCAAGGCACAUCCAUUGACGAAGUCUUGUUAAUGUAAUAUAUUUAGUCCCAGAAAAAAUGUCAUAACAUAAACGCAAAACUUAACUAGAGCAGCUCAGGCA
rnacentral:lncRNA from 1 species